ACUACGGGAGGCAGCAGUGAGGAAUAUUGGUCAAUGGACGAGAGUCUGAACCAGCCAAGUAGCGUGAAGGAUGACUGCCCUAUGGGUUGUAAACUUCUUUUAUAUGGGAAUAAAACAGGGUAUGCAUACCCUCUUGUAUGUACCAUAUGAAUAAGGAUCGGCUAACUCCGUGCCAGCAGCCGCGGUAAUACGGAGGAACCGAGCGUUAUCCGGAUUUAUUGGGUGUAAAGGGAGCGUAGGUGGAUUGUUAAGUCAGUUGUGAAAGUUUGCGGCUCAACCGUAAAAUUGCAUUUGAAACUGGCAGUCUUGAGUACAGUAGAGGUGGGCGGAAUUCGUGGUGUAGCGGU
rnacentral:rRNA from 1 species